rnacentral:rRNA from 1 species
CGACCACAACGGGUGGAGCCUGCGGUUUAAUUGGACUCAACGCCGGGCAGCUCACCGGAUAAGACAGCUGGAUGAUAGCCGGGCUGAAGACUCUGCUUGACUAGCUGAGAGGAGGUGCAUGGCCGUCGUCAGUUCGUACUGUGAAGCAUCCUGUUAAGUCAGGCAACGAGCGAGACCCACGCCAACAGUUGCCAGCAUGUCCUCCGGGAUGAUGGGGGACACUGUUGGGACCGCUCUGCUAAAGAGGAGGAAGGAAUGGGCAACGGUAGGUCAGCAUGCCCCGAAUUAUCCGGGCUACACGCGGGCUACAAUGGUCAGGACAAUGGGUAUCGACACCGAGAGGUGGAGGCAAUCUCCUAAACCUGUCCUUAGUUCGGAUUGUGGGCUGCAACUCGCCCACAUGAAGCUGGAAUCCGUAGUAAUCGCGUUUCAAAUAGCGCGGUGAAUAUGUCCCUGCUCCUU